rnacentral:sRNA from 1 species
GCCGUCUUGGUUCGAUCGGGAUACUCAUCAAAUAACGUUGAAAACCGGACUGUCUUCUCUAGUUAAUGGCGGGCCACUACCCAAGCAUUCUCAAAUAAUGCCGGUGGAUUACAAAGACGGAGAGCAUCCACAACCUGUGAUAAAGGAGUUUUCAUCACAUCACCCUGACGGU